rnacentral:rRNA from 1 species
GAUGAACGCUGGCGGCGUGCCUAAUACAUGCAAGUCGAGCGAACAGACGAGGAUCUUGCUCCUCUCACGUUAGCGGCGGACGGGUGAGUAACACGUGUAUAACCUACCUAUAAGACUGGUAUAACUUCGGGAAUCCGGAUCUAAUACCGUAUAAUCUAUUGCACCGCAUUGUUCAAUAGUGAAAUACGGUUGUUCUGUCACUUAUAGCUGGAUCCGCGCCGCAUUAGCUAGUUGGUAAGGUAACGGCUUAUCAAGGCGACGAUGCGUAGCCGACGUCACAGGGUGAUAGGCGACACUGGAACUGAGACACGGUCAAUGCUACUACGGGAGGCAGCAGAAGGCAAUGUUCCGCAAUGGGCGAAAGCAUGACAGAGCAACGGCGAGUGAGUGAUGAAGGUCUUCGGAGCGUAAAACCCUGUUAUGGGGGAUAAACAAAUGUGUAAGUAAAUAUGCACGUCUUGACGGUAACUAAUAAGAAAGCCACGGCUAACUACGUG